UGGCAACUCUUAUACAUUGUGACUACUUUCGUGACCAUCUCCCUAAAGAUGCAGAUGUCAAAUGUGUUUCUGACGGCGGCUUCUUUCUCAACGUGUAUUUUCCCCUAAUAAACUGAUCAUCUACCUGUCUCAAUGAGACUAUACACCAAAGAUCUAGAAAGUUACUGCCAGUGUGAAAACAGCUUAACAAUGUCUCUUAGUUUCAGUAAAGCUAUUUUCCUUCUUUUCAGGCUUGAUGUCCUUGGAAACCCUACGAUGAGAUCUUUCUAUCAUGAUGUUGUUACCUUGCAGGUUUCCAAAUUCAUUUUCUGUUAAUACUUGAAACCAUACUUUUCGAUAAAUUUUCUUGAAUUCUGAACAAGAACUUGUCAUGGCUUCUUUAUUUGCAUGUUUUUUGGACUGGUUUUCUAUGGUUGAUUCCAACCAGGGCGUAGAUAAGAGCUUGGAUCAGAAUUGUGUAGCCAAAAUGGAGCCAUCCACGGUUGGUUUUUGAGACUUGUUCAUCAUAUCUCUUACUCUGUUAAUAUCUUUCUUGACUCAUCAUGAUUGGUUUUGAGACUUGUUCAGUGUAUGUUUCCUCAAGAAUUCGUUAGUAACAUAAGAACACCAGUGUUUCUUGUCAACGCAGCUUAUGAUUCUUGGCAGGUUAUAACUUCUGGCAUGUUUCUAUUUGAUUCUACUCCAGUUCAUGUUUACUAAUACGAAACACAUAUUCAGAUUCAAAAUGUCUUGGUACCAGCUUCUGCUGAUUCAGAUAAAAGUUGGGAAAAGUGCAGACUCAGUAUUAAAGAAUGUGAUGCUGCACAGAUGAUUGUUCUACAGGGUAGAUUACUUCUUAGUCAAGCUUAAUGACUGUUAAGCCAAUAUACUAUUCUUGGAAAGCUUCUCCUAAUAUUUCUUUCUAAAAUGGUUAGUUGCAUAAGUCUCUAUUUGAUCUGCAGGUUUUCGCAGCUCUCUGAUGGAUGCCAUAGGGACAUUUCAUCAGAACAAAGCUGGUGGGAUGUUCAUAGAUUCAUGCUUCAUUCAUUGCCAAACAGUUACGCAAGGGACAUGGCACUCCCCAACCUCAACAAGAAUCGAAAACAAGGUAAAGACUCUUGACACACAAUCUGUUGCUUAUGGAGCCUUUCUUCUUACAGUUAAACUGAUCAGGUUUGUCUAUAUUCUGUUUUGUUGUUGGAACAGACAAUUGCCGAGUCGGUAGGUGACUGGUACUUCAACCGAAAACCGGUUAAGCUAAUUGAUUGUCCUUACCCUUGCAAUCCCUCCUGUCACAACUGAAGUUCAGCUGAACUUUCCUUUUAGCUGCAUUGACCAAUCCCCAUCUCCCUAAAGAUGCAGAUGUCAAAUGUGUUUCUGACGGCGGCUUCUUUCUCAACGUGUAUUUUCCCCUAAUAAACUGAUCAUCUACCUGUCUCAAUGAGACUAUACACCAAAGAUCUAGAAAGUUACUGCCAGUGUGAAAACAGCUUAACAAUGUCUCUUAGUUUCAGUAAAGCUAUUUUCCUUCUUUUCAGGCUUGAUGUCCUUGGAAACCCUACGAUGAGAUCUUUCUAUCAUGAUGUUGUUACCUUGCA
rnacentral:lncRNA from 1 species